CAGCCGCCGCGGUAAUACGGAGGGUGCAAGCGUUGUUCGGAUUUAUUGGGCGUAAAGGGCGUGCAGGCGGUUUGGUAAGUCAGAUGUGAAAGCCCCGGGCUUAACCCGGGAAGUGCAUUUGAAACUGCCGGGCUUGAGUAUGGGAGAGGAAAGUGGAAUUCCCAGUGUAGAGGUGAAAUGCGUAGAUAUUGGGAGGAACACCGGUGGCGAAGGCGACUCUCUGGACCAAUACUGACGCUGAGACGCGAAAGCGUGGGGAGCAAACAGGAUAAGAUACCCUGGUAGUCCACGCCGUAAACGAUGAGAACUAGGUGUAGCGGGUAUUGACCCCUGCUGUGCCGCAGUUAACGCAUAAAGUGCUCCGCCUGGGGAGUACGGCCGCAAGGCUAAAACUCAAAGGAAUUGACGGGGGCCCGCACAAGCGGUGGAGCAUGUGGUUUAAUUCGACGCAACGCGAAGAACCUUACCUGGGUUUGACAUCCUCUGACUGCCCAGGAAACGGGGUUUUUCAGACUCUGUCGGAACAGAGUGACAGGUGCUGCAUGACUGUCGUCAGCUCGUGUCGUGAGAUGUUGGGUUAAGUCCCGCAACGAGCGUAACCCUUGUCAUUAGUUGCCAGUAUUAAGUUAGGCACUCUAAAGAGACUGCCUCGGUUAACGGGGAGGAAGGUGGGGAUGACGUCAAGUCCUCAUGGCCUUUAUAUCCAGGGCUACACACGUGCUACAAUGGGCUGUACAAAGGGUUGCCACUCCGCGAGGAGGCGCUAAUCCCAAAAAGCAGUCCUCAGUUCGGAUUGGAGUCUGCAACUCGACUCCAUGAAGGUGGAAUCGCUAGUAAUCGUGGAUCAGCACGCCACGGUGAAUACGUUCCCGGGCCUUGUACACACCGCCCGUCACACCACGAAAGUCGACUGUACCAGAAGUUGCUGGGCCAACCCUUCGGGGGGGCAGGUACCUAAGGUACGGCCGGUAAUUGGGGUGAAGUCGUAACAAGGUAGCCGUA
rnacentral:rRNA from 1 species